UACGGGGGGGGCAAGCGUUGUUCGGAAUUACUGGGCGUAAAGGGCUCGUAGGUGGCCAACUAAGUCGGACGUGAAAUCCCUCAGCUUAACUGGGGAACUGCGUCCGAUACUGGAUGGCUCGAGUCUGGGAGAGGGAUGCGGAAUUCCUGGUGUAGCGGUGAAAUGCGCAGAUAUCAGGAAGAACACCCGUGGCGAAGGCGGCUCUCUGGGACGGUACUGACGCUGAGACGCGAAAGCGUGGGGAGCGAACAGG
rnacentral:rRNA from 1 species